ensembl:lncRNA
UAUGUCCUUAAUUUAAUAAAUACUUUUUCAUAUAUAUUUAAAUGUAGGCCACAGGAGUGAGACUUGGAAACUCUUCUUUAACCUAAGUUGUCGUUGCUUCUAACCUGCCUUAUAUGCAGGUAAAGAGUUAAAAGAAUAAAGUAUACAAAGGCUUUCCUAAGUUGAUCUAUGUGCUGAAGAAAUUGUUAGUUAAAUAAACAUACAGUACUAUUAGCUGUACUCACAGGUAAACAGCUUCACAAAAAGAAAACGUGAUCAAAGGUGAUUCUGCCGCCAAGUGGUGAGAACACAUGGUACAUAAUGUGUACAUAAGAAUGGUUUGAGUUGGAAGGUACCUUAAGGGACCUUAAAGGCCUAACCCCAGGCCAUGGGCAGGGCUGCCCCCCACCAUUUCAGGCUGCCCAGGGCCCCAUCCAAUGUGGCCUUCAGUGCCUCCAGGGAUGGGGCACCACAGCUUCUCUGGGCAGCUGUGCCAGGGCGGUGCUGGAUGAUGAACAGAUGUCCUCUUGCUUCAGUACUGCUGUCUUAAUUCAUUUCUGGAUGAAAACGGAUUUUGGGGUGUUUAGCAGUGCAUUAUCAAGUCUCUUGUAAUUCUGCCUGUUAACAGCAUGGUAUGCAGUAAAUUUUCAGGCUUAAGACAGGUUAGUUUGCCUGCCUUUAGAAGGGAGAGGAACAAGGUGGUGGAAAUGAUCACUGUUAAUUUCUGAACUAGAAUAGUUAAUAUCAAAGCAGCAGUACAUGCCUCCUCAAAGCAAGAGGGGGGACAACAUUUCUGUUAAAACAUAAGAUGCUCUGAGCUCCUUCCCUCCAAGGAGCUGUGUUCUCUCAGGAGCUCAAUGGCUUCUUAAGAAGUGCCUAAAUGUUUCCUAAUGCAUAAGAUCUAGUUUGAGAUAGAUGAACUUAGUAGUAUGAGCCAUUAAAGUUUAGGGAUUGCUGUGCUUGUUUGCAGACAUUAAGCAACUUGCCAGUGUAAUACAGAUAUCUUGCUGGAAAAGUACUGACAUCAGCAUCUUGCCUGUCUGUAAAAAGUUCUCUGGUGCUUGCUAAUGCAUAGUGUUGUGUAUUGGAAAUGUAUUUUUACUGCAUUUUUGUGAAACCUUGCAAAAUGUGGUACUAGCAGUGUCCAAUAGUAUUUGCAUCCACAUGCAAGAAGAGGAAGGCUGCACGUUCCCACCCCCUGGGGAUAUGCGCAGGGAAAAGUGGGUGUGGAUCCAGUUCUGGUGGGGGAUUUAAGGUCUGGAUACCUCUUCUCUAGUCUUUCAGUUUCCAUAUGAUAAUAAAGACAAAAUAAUGAUUUCAAAUCCUGCUGAACCUGAUUUUAAUGAAAGAAGUAGGAAAUGUUUUUUCUGCCUAAUUUGUGAAUAAUUCAAACUAUAAUAACACACGGUGGCAGUGUUGUCUUUCAGGUAAUGAACAAAACUGCACUGUCAGACAAAUACACUCAGUUUUAUGCUGCUCCUAUUGUUUUAUGGGCUAAAUGACUCGCUACUUUCAAUAAACUUGAUGUAUAUCAGCAUAAUGGAACUUCUUUGCAAUACGUUUUUCGUAAUUCUGACUGAACUAGACAAGAGGAGUAAACAAGCUGUUUAUUUUUUGUUCUCCUUUUGUGGUCUAAAUACUGUUUCUGUUACAAAGGAUGUGCCAGUCUCCAUGCAGGUACUGCUUGUUGAUUUUUGGAUAGCCUCUGGGACGCUAUCACCAUUUCACAAAACACAGUGACAUCCAUUUUUCAUAAGUUGUUAUUUUCAUCUGUGUUAACUAAUGAGCCAAGAGAAUAAAAGCUUCCGUUGGAAAAGACCUUUGGAACGCAGCGCGUAGUUUGACUGAUGUCCAACUUCAGUGCAGAGGGAUCUAUAACACUUUGACAAGAUAUUGUUGCUUCAUACAUAACAGGCAAGACAAAUAUCCAAUGCCUUCUAGUAGCGUCAUCCCCAAAAUAACAUUCCCUAUUUGAACAAAUGAAGGAGGCAGAAUUCUGCAGCGUUUGGCAUUUUCAAACUUAUUAAGCUUGAGAAUAUUUUCAUCGCUCUGAAGUGCUUUGCGGUUAAUAAUGUAUCUUGGGAUGUCUGUCAGCAAUUAAUUUUGUCUCUGCAAAGCAGAUGGGGAAAGGGAGUCAUAAGUGAAGGGUUUCCACGGGCUCUUGGUGAAAAUUAGAGAGCUGAGAUUAGUCUUGACAUGUCCUCACUCCCAGACCUGUUUGAUCAUUUACAAAUUGUAAGAGUCUCAAAUAAUUCCUCGUUAUUACUGUUACCAAUGGCACAGAUUAUAAACCAUAGCAAAAAUAAAUAAAUAAAACCCCGCACAACAAACUACAUGAAGCAGAGGGUGGAAUGUACAUACGGAAGGAUGUUCCUGGUAAUCCAAUGUUCAACGAAUUUGCUGUUCUAUUUAUGCAGGAUAUGAUGAGCAAUGGGUAUAUUAAAACAACAGAGCGGACAGAUAUUAAAAGCUCAAGAGUAAAGCAUAGUUGCUUGUCAGAAAACAUAGUAAUUUAAGCAUCAGUAACCUAGAAAUCGGAGGUCAAAGCACAGUUCCUGCCAAGCAGAAUCUACACCUCAAAGGAAAUGACAUUUUAUGGAGCUGACCAACAACAGCCAUUCCUAUUAUUAACAUAUGAGAUCAGGGCUAACCACAGAAUAAAGUGUGGGCUCCCCCUUGGGAUUUUGGCUAACCUCAUAUAGAAUUACACUUUAUCUUUGAUUGCAUGGUUGUGUGUUGUUAAUUGUAAGUUUAUUCUCAUUAAAAUCUUUGUGUAUCCUUCAACUAGCAGUGGUACAAGGGCUGCUCUGAAAGUAAUGCCUCCUAUUUUAUGAUGUUGGCUCACACUGUCAGAGGCAGUUGGUGGUACAGCAGAGGGGCAUUCUGACAGAAUGGUGUCUGACACAGAAGUACACACGAAGCAAAGAUGUGCCAUUGGAUUCCUCCAUGUGGAAAUAAUGGCACCCACUGAUAUUUAUGGCUUGCUUGCUGAACUUUUAUGGAGACCAAACGGUGGACAUCAGCAGAUACAAAAGUAAAGUAAGCUUCAUUAGUGAUAUACAUUAGUUAUAUUAUUUAUUUUGUUUGUGACCUGAGACAGCUCUUUGUUCAGUGUGGCCUAGGCAAGCCAAAAGUUUUGACGCCUCUGUAUCAUAAAAGUAUAUAAGGAAGAAAGCACAUAUAAUUUUUAAUUAAACCAUGAAAAGAGAAGGAAAAAAAAAAAAGUAGGAUAUUUGACCGUGUUUUGGUGAAAUUGAUGGGUCGGGUUCAGAAGCUGGGGUUGCAAUUCUCAGUGAGCUGUCAAGGUGCUCCUCAAGGUGCUCCUCCUUUAAUGAAUUCUUAUUCUUCCAAUGCUUCAUCCUUGAAAACAGUUGUCCACAAAUGUCUUUAUUUUUUUUCUUCCCCCUCCCUCUCCGCCCCCAUAUUAGUAGCUACAUGAAUAAGGCAUGGUUGUGAAGCAAGGGAUAUCUCUCUCUGGUGAGAGAGGACUUAUAAAGUCUGGUAAGGAGACACAAUCACAUUUUGGAGUUGAAUGUCUGUUUGCAACAUCAUGCAUUCCAUUUGCAAACUGGUGGGUAAUGCAUUUAUCUUGACUGAAAUUGGAGUCACA